rnacentral:lncRNA from 1 species
GGGUCAAAUUAGUUUGCGAUUUCACUAAGGUUUCCAAACUCUUUUCUAAGGAAUUGAGGCGUUUAUCCGAAUCAUUAAAACCGGGAGGAUCAAAGGUGUUGAAUUGGGUUACGACAUGAAACUUGGACCUUGAUUUGGGUAAGAGUUUGGGUUGGGCCUUUGUUGAAAAUUUGGUUGAGGAGUUGGAAAAGAAUUUGGCCCUUGAUUUUGAAAAAUUUGACCUUGGGUCCAUGAGAAAUUUGGGUGAUUUCUCCA